CCGGCCCGGAGCUUCCGGCGCUCGCUCGAGGCCCAAGUCGAGGCCCGGCCGCCCCGCGCCGCCACCUGCCCUCCGGCUUCGGGCGCUGUGGCCCCCGACUUCCUGUUAUUAAUGUUUUUUAAAAGAAAAAAAAUAUUUGGUGAAGCUGCCCCAUUCAAAGCCACCACCCGCAGCCCGAAUGAGACCACAAAGCGGGGGACACAGAUGGGACUUGGCCACAGACACCCUGAAAAGUCAAACUCGCAUCGGGGAAAAUACUUCCAGAGAGUGUUUUCUUGGACAGAAAUAGGAUGUAGUAGAAAGCCAGAGAGCAAAGAUGUUCCAAGACAUGGGAAAAAAAAGGACCCUCUGCCUCACAUUGUCGAAAACACCAGCAGCAGGAUUCUCACAUACGAUAUUACUGAAGUGAUUUUCAGUUUUCCAAAAUGCCACUCUCUCCCAGGGAACAACUUUCUCUCCUUUGGCCUGCAAGGACUCCCUGCGGCUCUGACCGGCUUUUCUUCUAGAGAAAACCGCACGAGGUGGGCCCUGGCUCCCGUAAUCAGGCUUCCCUCCAGCUCGCUCAUGCCAGGCCAAAUGCCCGGGCCCCCUCCCCUGUGCUGGGCUUCCAAGGCAUAUCCCCUAACUGUUGAGGUCUCUGCGAUUGCUUUUCUUUGCAGCCUACCAAGAACACAACAGGAUGGCUUUUUGUCAUGUCUCCUCUAA
rnacentral:lncRNA from 1 species